rnacentral:misc_RNA from 1 species
CAGGCCUCCCUCUGCUUGGUUCCAGUCGUGGGCAUGAGUGAGGGGUGAUGCUUGAUGGCUUUGAUGCCAUCGGUGGGAAUGUGUUUAAGCAUCGGCCUUCCCUCAUGCUCACGAUGGUCUACAGUCUUGGGUAUGAGUCAGUGACGAUGCUUGUUUGUUUUGAUGCUUGCGUUUGAACUUGCUUGAGCAACCGACCUGACGAAGUACCCAUGAAUGUCGCCCGCGAUGGUCUACAGUCUUGGAUAUGAGUCAGUGACGAUGCUUGUUUGUUUUGAUGCUUGUGUUUGAACUUGCUUGAGCAACCGACCUGACGAAGUACCCAUGAAUGUCGCCCACGAUGGUYUACAGUCUUGGGUAUGAGUCAGUGACGAUGCUUGUUUGUUUUGAUGCUUGCGUUUGAACUUGCUUGAGCAACCGACCUGACGAAGUACCAAUGAAUGUCGCCCACGAUGGUCUACAGUCUUGGGUAUGAGUUAGUGACGAUGCUUGUUUGUUUUGAUGCUUGUGUUUGAACUUGCUUGAGCAACUGACCUGACGAAGUACCCAUGAAUGUCGCCCGGGUGGUUGAGAGUCAACCUAGUAGGGACGUGUCCCUGCGCCCAACGACUUUUGUCGGGAUCGUGGCAAGUCUGCGAUCGAGGGGGUGAUGUUGAGAGCUAGAAGGCAAGGGGGUGCAAACACUAGUCGGCCUUUGUCCCGAUUGCUGAGUGUUAUGUGCUUGAUGUCCAAAGCUUGAUGCUGAUCCUCCAAGUGGGGCUUGUCCCUGCACCAAUGGCUAUUGCCAGGAUCAUGGCGUUUGCUGUGAUCGAAAAAAUGAGGGGGUGAUGUUGAGAGCCGGAAGGCAAGGGGGUGCAAACACCAGUCGGCCUUUGUCCCGAUUGCUGAGUGUUAUGUGCUUGACGUCCAAGGCUUGAUGCUGACCUUCCAAGUGGGGCUUUUUUGUUCCUGCGGUAACGACUUUGUUGGGAUCAUUGUAAUCAGGUUUGGUUGGUUUCGUAUUGUGGUGGGUUUUUUCGAAGCUUCUAUCGUUCUUUUACGCAUCGUGCGGUGCAUCUUGGGGGCUGUUUUGGCUUUUGGUUGCUUGCUUGGGCUUUAUGCUAGGCGGGUGGCUAAU